AGAACGAACGCUGGCGGCAGGCCUAACACAUGCAAGUCGAACGCUCUCGCAAGAGAGAGUGGCGCACGGGUGCGUAACGCGUGGGAAUGUACCUCUAGGUACGGAACAACCCAGGGAAACUUGGGCUAAUACCGUAUAAUAUCUUCGGAUCAAAGAUUUAUCGCCUAGAGAUCAGCCCGCGUAGGAUUAGCUAGUUGGUGAGGUAAUGGCUCACCAAGGCUACGAUCCUUAGCUGGUCUGAGAGGAUGAUCAGCCACACUGGAACUGAGACACGGUCCAGACUCCUACGGGAGGCAGCAGUGAGGAAUAUUGGACAAUGGGGGCAACCCUGAUCCAGCCAUGCCGCGUGAGUGAUGAAGGCCUUCGGGUUGUAAACUCUUUUAGAUGUGAAGAUGAUGACGGUAACAUCAGAAAAGCUCCGGCUAACUUCGUGCCAGCAGCCGC
rnacentral:rRNA from 1 species